AAAAUAAAGUGGCAGGGGAGAUACCUUGAUCACAAAGAAGUUUUUCCUAUGAUGAGGCUUAUCCAUUGCACUGGUAGCAUGCUGCCCCUGUGACUUCCUCAAAUGUAGGAAACUCAGUUGCAUAAUUUGCGGUAGAGGGGGACUGCAUUUGUUCUGUA